GUGCUCGCUUUGGCAGCACAUAAACUAAAAUUAGAACGAUACAGAGAAGAUUAGCAUGGCCCCUGGGCAAGGAUGACACACAUUCGUGAAGUGUUCCAUAUCUUU